rfam:Camelus ferus unplaced genomic scaffold scaffold1618, whole genome shotgun sequence.
GAAGGUAUAGCUCAAGUGGUAGAGCCUUUGUUUAGUAUGCACGGGGUCCUGGGUUCGAUCCCCAGUACCUCCU